rnacentral:rRNA from 1 species
CCUACGGGUGGCAGCAGUGGGGAAUAUUGGGCAAUGGAGGCAACUCUGACCCAGCAACGCCGCGUGAAUGAUGAAGGUCUUCGGAUUGUAAAGUUCUUUUCUAAGGGAAGAAGAAAGUGACGGUACCUUAGGAAUAAGCCUCGGCUAACUACGUGCCAGCAGCCGCGGUAAUACGUAGGAGGCAAGCGUUAUCCGGAUUUAUUGGGUUUAAAGGGUGCGUAGGCGGGCUUUUAAGUCAGCGGUAAAAAUUCGGGGCUCAACCCCGUCCGGUCGUUGAAACUGGGGGCCUUGAGUGGGCGAGAAGAAGGCGGAAUGCGUGGUGUAGCGGUGAAAUGCAUAGAUAUCACGCAGAACCCCGAUUGCGAAGGCAGCCUUCCGGCGCCCUACUGACGCUGAGGCACGAAAGUGCGGGGAUCGAACAGGAUUAGAUACCCGUGUAGUC